UACGGGGGGAGCAAGCGUUGUUCGGAUUUACUGGGCGUAAAGGGCGCGUAGGCGGUCAGCACAAGUCAGUUGUGAAAUCCCCGGGCCUAACCUGGGAACCGCAUUUGUGACUGCAUAGCUAGAGUCCGUCAGAGGGGGGUGGAAUUCCACGUGUAGCAGUGAAAUGCGUAGAGAUGUGGAGGAACACCGAUGGCGAAGGCAGCCCCCUGGGAUGAGACUGACGCUCAUGUACGAAAGCGUGGGGAGCAAACAGG
rnacentral:rRNA from 1 species